rnacentral:rRNA from 1 species
UACGGAGGAUGCAAGCGUUAUCCGGAAUGAUUGGGCGUAAAGCGUCCGCAGGAGGCAAUGUAAGUCUGCUGUUAAAGAGUCUAGCUCAACUAGAUAAGAGCAGUGGAAACUACAUAGCUAGAGUACGUUCGGGGCAGAGGGAAUUCCUGGUGUAGCGGUGAAAUGCGUAGAGAUCAGGAAGAACACCGGUGGCGAAGGCGCUCUGCUAGGCCGUAACUGACACUGAGGGACGAAAGCUAGGGGAGCGAAUGGG